rnacentral:rRNA from 1 species
GCGGUAGCCUGCGAAAAGCGGUGGGGAGCUGGCAAACGAGCUUUGAUCCACCGAUAUCCGAAUGGGGAAACCCACUCCUUAUGGAGUAUCCGUAGCUGAAUACAUAGGCUACGUGAAGCGAACGCGGUGAACUGAAACAUCUAAGUAACCGCAGGAAAAGAAAUCAACCGAGAUUCCCAGAGUAGUGGCGAGCGAAAUGGGACCAGCCUGUACUCUUUAUCUGUACUGUUAGUCGAAUGCUCUGGAAAGUGCAGCCAUAGCAGGUGAUAGCCCUGUAGACGAAAACAGCAUGGAAGAACUAGGUGUACGACAAGUAGGGCGGGACACGUGAAAUCCUGUCUGAAGAUGGGGGGACCAUCCUCCAAGGCUAAAUACUCGUGAUCGACCGAUAGUGAACCAGUACCGUGAGGGAAAGGCGAAAAGAACCCCGGGAGGGGAGUGAAACAGAUCCUGAAACCGCAUGCAUACAAACAGUCGGAGCCUCGCAAGGGGUGACGGCGUACCUUUUGUAUAAUGGGUCAGCGACUUACAUUCAGUGGCAAGCUUAACCGAUUAGGGCAGGCGUAGCGAAAGCGAGUCCGAACAGGGCGAUCAGUCGCUGGGUGUAGACCCGAAACCAGGUGAUCUAUCCAUGGCCAGGUUGAAGGCACGGUAACACGUGCUGGAGGACCGAACCCACUAACGUUGAAAAGUUAGGGGAUGAGCUGUGGAUAGGGGUGAAAGGCUAAACAAACCUGGAAAUAGCUGGUUCUCUCCGAAAACUAUUUAGGUAGUGCCUCGUGUAUCACCUUCGGGGGUAGAGCACUGUCAUGGUUGUGGGGUCCAUUGCGGAUUACUACGCCAUAGCAAACUCCGAAUACCGAAGAGUGCAAUCACGGGAGACAGACAUCGGGUGCUAACGUCCGGUGUCAAGAGGGAAACAACCCAGACCGCCAGCUAAGGUCCCCAAAUAUGGCUAAGUGGGAAACGAAGUGGGAAGGCUAAAACAGUCAGGAGGUUGGCUUAGAAGCAGCCAUCCUUUAAAGAAAGCGUAAUAGCUCACUGAUCGAGUCGUCCUGCGCGGAAGAUGUAACGGGGCUAAGCCAUAUACCGAAGCUGCGGAUGCGAGCUAGUCUCGCAUGGUAGGAGAGCGUUCCGUAAGCCUGCGAAGGUGCACUGGAAAGUGUGCUGGAGGUAUCGGAAGUGCGAAUGCUGACAUGAGUAGCGAUAAAGGGGGUGAAAGGCCCCCUCGCCGUAAGCCCAAGGUUUCCUACGCAACGUUCAUCGGCGUAGGGUGAGUCGGCCCCUAAGGCGAGGCAGAAAUGCGUAGCUGAUGGGAAGCAGAUUAAUAUUUCUGCACCAUUGUGAAAUGCGAUGGGGGGACGGAUCGCGGAAGGUUGUCCGGGUGUUGGAAGUCCCGGUCGCUGCAUUGAAGAGGGUGCUUUGGCAAAUCCGGGCACAGGACUCAAGGGUGUGGCGCGAGCUUCUUCGGAAGCGAAGCAACUGGAAGGGGUUCCAGGAAAAGCCUCUAAGCUUCAGUUUCACAGUGACCGUACCGCAAACCGACACAGGUGGGCGAGAUGAGUAUUCUAAGGCGCUUGAGAGAACUCGGGAGAAGGAACUCGGCAAAUUGGUACCGUAACUUCGGGAUAAGGUACGCCCCUGUAGCUUGAUGCGCCUGCGCGCAAAGGGUGAAGGGGUUGCAAUAAACUGGUGGCUGCGACUGUUUAAUAAAAACACAGCACUCUGCAAACACGAAAGUGGACGUAUAGGGUGUGACGCCUGCCCGGUGCCGGAAGAUUAAAUGAUGGGGUGCAAGCUCUUGAUUGAAGUCCCGGUAAACGGCGGCCGUAACUAUAACGGUCCUAAGGUAGCGAAAUUCCUUGUCGGGUAAGUUCCGACCUGCACGAAUGGCGUAACGAUGGCCACACUGUCUCCUCCCGAGACUCAGCGAAGUUGAAGUGUUUGUGAUGAUGCAAUCUCCCCGCGGCUAGACGGAAAGACCCCAUGAACCUUUACUGUAGCUUUGCAUUGGACUUUGAACCGGUCUGUGUAGGAUAGGUGGGAGGCUGUGAAGCGGGAACGCUAGUUUCCGUGGAGCCGUCCUUGAAAUACCACCCUGAUCUGUUUGAGGUUCUAACCUUGGUCCGUAAUCCGGAUCGGGGACAGUGCAUGGUAGGCAGUUUGACUGGGGCGGUCUCCUCCCAAAGUGUAACGGAGGAGUACGAAGGUACGCUAGGUACGGUCGGAAAUCGUGCUGAUAGUGCAAUGGCAUAAGCGUGCUUGACUGUGAGACUGACAAGUCGAACAGGUGCGAAAGCAGGUCAUAGUGAUCCGGUGGUUCUGUAUGGAAGGGCCAUCGCUCAACGGAUAAAAGGUACUCUGGGGAUAACAGGCUGAUACCGCCCAAGAGUUCAUAUCGACGGCGGUGUUUGGCACCUCGAUGUCGGCUCAUCUCAUCCUGGGGCUGUAGCCGGUCCCAAGGGUAUGGCUGUUCGCCAUUUAAAGAGGUACGUGAGCUGGGUUUAAAACGUCGUGAGACAGUUUGGUCCCUAUCUGCCGUGGGCGCUGGAUAUUUGAAGGGGGCUGCUCCUAGUACGAGAGGACCGGAGUGGACGAACCUCUGGUGUACCGGUUGUCACGCCAGUGGCAUCGCCGGGUAGCUAUGUUCGGAAGAGAUAACCGCUGAAAGCAUCUAAGCGGGAAACUCGCCUUAAGAUGAGAUAUCCCCGGGGCUUCGAGCCCCUUGAAGGGUCGUUCAAGACCAGGACGUUGAUAGGUCAGGUGUGCACGUACAGUAAUGUACUGAGCUAACUGAUACUAAUUGCCCGUAAGGCUUGAUCCUAUAACAGGUGUGUUU